GACGAACGCUGGCGGCGUGCUUAACACAUGCAAGUCGAACGGAAAGGCCCUGCUUUUGUGGGGUGCUCGAGUGGCGAACGGGUGAGUAACCCGUGAGUAACCUGCCCUUGACUUUGGGAUAACUUCAGGAAACUGGGGCUAAUACCGGAUAGGAGCUCCUGCUGCAUGGUGGGGGUUGGAAAGUUUCGGCGGUUGGGGAUGGACUCGCGGCUUAUCAGCUUGUUGGUGGGGUAGUGGCUUACCAAGGCUUUGACGGGUAGCCGGCCUGAGAGGGUGACCGGACACAUUAGGACUGAGAUACGGCCCAGACUCGUACGGGAGGCAGGAGUGGGGAAUAGUGCACAAUGGGCGGAAGCCUGAUGCAGCAACGCCGCGUGCGGGAUGACGGCCUUCGGGUUGGAAACCGCUUUCGCCUGUGACGAAGCGUGAGUGACGGUAAUGGGUAAAGAAGCACCGGCUAACUACGUG
rnacentral:rRNA from 1 species